UAAAUAGUAAAUAUUAAAAAUUAAUUUCGACUUAAUAAUUGAUUUAUUUUAAUCUAUUUAC
rnacentral:tRNA from 1 species